rnacentral:rRNA from 1 species
UACGAAGGGGGCGAGCGUUGUUCGGAAUUACUGGGCGUAAAGGGCGCGUAGGCGGCCGAUCAAGUCAGAUGUGAAAGUCCUGGGCUUAACCUGGGGACUGCAUUUGAUACUGAUUGGCUUGAAUGCAGGAGAGGAUAGCGGAAUUCCCAGUGUAGAGGUGAAAUUCGUAGAUAUUGGGAGGAACACCUGUGGCGAAGGCGGCCGUCUGGGCCGACCCUGACGCUGAGGCGCGAAGGCGUGGGGAGCGAACGGG